rnacentral:rRNA from 1 species
UACGUAGGGGGCAAGCGUUGUCCGGAUUCAUUGGGCGUAAAGAGCGUGUAGGCGGCCAGGUAGGUCGGUUGUGAAAACUGGAGGCUCAACCUUCAGAGGUCGACCGAAACCAUCUGGCUAGAGUCCGGGAGAGGAGAGUGGAAUUCCUGGUGUAGCGGUGAAAUGCGCAGAUAUCAGGAAGAACACGCGUGACGAAAGCGGCUCUCUGGAACGGUACUGACGUUGAGACGCGAAAGCGUGGGGAGCGAACAGG